AAUUUUCUGGGGUUUUAUUAUUAUUUUUUAUUUAAUUUAUAAUAUUGUUGAAAAUAACAAUGUAUUCUCUAAGACUAAAAGACCCUAGAAUUUUAAUAAUUUUUUUAUUUGAUUGGGGUAAUUUUUAAAUAAAA
rnacentral:rRNA from 1 species